rnacentral:lncRNA from 1 species
AAACUUGGAAGUAAAAAAAAAACAUCAUACCCUUUAGCAAAAAUAAAAUAGAGAAUAGUUUUAUGAUAAAGUUGGUGAUUACAGUUCACAUAAAAGAAUAAUACUCAUUAAUUUUUGAAUCAUCGUAUCUUCCAUUUUAUAAAUCAAAUUUUUCACUCCUGUCUUCGUUACAACCACCAUAAUUUUCUUUAAAUAUUGAAUAUAUGUACUAAAUUUGUUGAAAAUGACAAUGGGGAUAAUUAGAAGAACAUACGGGAGGUUUGCAAUUGAAAUAUA